rnacentral:rRNA from 1 species
UAAAUAGACCCGAGAGCCUCCAAAAGUAAUGGGAAACAACACGGGGAUUAGGAUCCCCCGGGUAGCCCCAUCCCGUAAGCGAUGAACUGUUAAGUGUUGGGAGGGUUCUCGCGUCCCCUCCAGUUUCGCAGCUAACCGCAUUAAGCAUUCCCGCGUGGGGAGUACGGCCGCAAGGCUGAAACUCAAAGGAAUUUGACGGGGGCCCGCACAAGCGGUGGAGCAUGUGGUUUAAUUCGAAGCUACGCGAAGAACCUUACCAGGUCUUGACAUACUAUGCAAAUCUAAGAGAUUAGACGUUCCCUUCGGGGACAUGGAUACAGGUGGUGCAUGGUUGUCGUCAGCUCGUGUCGUGAGAUGUUGGGUUAAGUCCCGCAACGAGCGCAACCCUUAUUAUCAGUUGCCAGCAUUAAGUUGGGCACUCUGGUGAGACUGCCGGUGACAAACCGGAGGAAGGUGGGGAUGACGUCAAAUCAUCAUGCCCCUUAUGACCUGGGCUACACACGUGCUACAAUGGAUGGUACAACGAGUUGCGAACUCGCGAGAGUAAGCUAAUCUCUUAAAGCCAUUCUCAGUUCGGAUUGUAGGCUGCAACUCGCCUACAUGAAGUCGGAAUCGCUAGUAAUCGCGGAUCAGCAUGCCGCGGUGAAUACGUUCCCGGGCCUUGUACACACCGCCCGUCACACCAUGAGAGUUUGUAACACCCAAAGUCGGUGGGGUAACCUUUAGGAACCAGCCGCCCUAAGA